AAAGUAUUGAUGAAUGAAAACAGUGAUGAAGUUAUUGAUGUUCCAUACUUUCACUUGGAGACUAUUUUGGCAGCUACAGACAACUUCUCAAAUGCAAAUAAGCUUGGACAAGGAGGAUUUGGUCCUGUUUACAAGGGUAUCUUUCCAAGCAAAAAAGAAAUUGCAGUGAAAAGGUUAUCCAGCCAUUCAGGACGAGGCAUAGAUGAAUUUAAGAAUGAAGUAACUCUUAUUGCAAGCUUCAACAUCGAAAUCUAGUGAGGCUAUUGGGCUAUUGCAUCAAUGCAACCGAACAAAUAUUACUUUAUGAAUAUAUGCCGAAUAAAAGUUUAGAUACAUUCAUAUUUGAUGGAACACUUUGUCAAUUAUUGGAUUGGACGAAACGUUAUGACAUCAUAUUGGGCAUUGCACGGGGUCUUGCUUAUCUUCACCAUGAUUCACGACUAAGGAUUAUUCAUAGAGAUUUGAAAACCAAAGAACAUUUUAUUAGAUGAGGAGAUGAAUUCGAAAAUUUCAUAUUUUGGCUUGGCGAGGAUUGUUGAAGGAAAAGUAACAGAAGCAAAUACGAAUAAAGUAGUGGGAACCUAGUAAGU